GUUGAUUUUGUAUUUUUUCAUGGUAGAAUUAAGAUUUAACUACAUGUUCUGCAUUUUUGCCAACAUAAAUCAUUGAUUUUACUGUUGCAGAUAAGAGUUUUCAGGAUAGAAAUUCGUGUAACUGUGUUGCUGUAAAACAGAUAGUUGUGACUAAUGUCUAAAAACGUCUACUGCAUUAAAAUAUAUGGCAGUUAUUUCAAGUUGAUUGGCAUUUGUGCUUGUUAAAAUAAAUUCUAAGACAGUCAUCUGCAAAUCUCGGAUUUUGACACCCUCAAAAUUUGAAUGUCUAAUCCAGCUUGACUUUGGAAACAAAUUAAAAUGCAUACACAAAUACAUUUUUAUACGACCGCAAAAUUUUGGUAUGAUGUCGUCGUCUGCAUCAUCGUCAUCCUCGUCCGAAGACACAUUUGGUGUCUGGACAAUAACUUUAGUUUAAGUUAAUGGAUCUCUAUGAAAUUUUAUAAAAAGGUUCAAUACCUCAAAAGGAAGGUUGGGAUAGAAUUUGGGGAUGAUUGUCUCUACCAUUUUGGAAUAGGGGGUCCAAAAGAAGCAUUUUCUACUUUCAGAAUAUCAACUUGUGUAUAAGCAUUUUAAUUGGUCUGAAAUUGAACCACAAUGUUUAAUACCACAGGUAGAAGGUUUGGAUUGAUUUUGAGGGUUAUGGUCCUUAAUGUAGGAAUUGGAGGCAAAAAAAUGGGCCAAAAUAAGCAUUUUUUAGUUUUCAGUCAAUAACUUGUGUUUAAGUGUAUAAAUCUCUCUGAAAUUAUACCACAAGUUAUAAUUGUUACCAUAACCCCCUCUUAACCAAGGGACCAAGGGAUGGUUAAGGGGGGUUAUGGUUCAAAUCAUCAAGCAGUUAGGGCCAAAAAAGGGGGAAAACAAGGGUUUUUCUGGUUAAAGGACAAUUUAAGAAAUUUAAAAUCAGUGAAGGGGAGGUAAUCCAAUUAAAAUUUAAAGAACACUGUUAUAUAUAUAUAUGUUUGAUUACUUGAUUACCUAUCUUACACUGCUUGAAAAUUAUGUAUUAAGAAAUGAUGAUUGUCUUGAGAUGUGUAGCUGUAAAUUUAUUUUUUAAGUUACUGUUUAUUAAUAUUAAUUUUAACCAUGACUGUAUGUCAUUUUAUAUUUUAAUAUUUUAUGAUGUAUUUAAAUGAGUAGUUAUUGUUGCCAACUCCAUUAGAAAUUUGAAUUGAGAUAAAAAAAAAAAUUGAGGGGAUUAUGAUGUGUCAACUACUUAAUUACAAUCCAAAUUCAGAGCUGUAUCAAGCUUGAAUGUUGUGUCCAUACUUGCCCCAACUGUUCAGGGUUCAACCACUGCGGUCGUAUAAAGCUGUGCCCGGUGGAGCAUUAUCUGGUUGUAUUAUGUCUUUUAUUUUGGUUAUGAACAACAGCCUUGUUAUGGUUUUCAAUGUUUUAAUAAAGUUGAUGAAGGUCAUAUGGUUUUCUUUGUUUGUAUGUUCUUGUAAAUAUGUGUUAAAUUAGGGGUGAAAGAUACCAGAGGGACAUUCAAACUCAUAGAUCGAAAGUAAACUGACAACACCAUUGCUAAAAAAGAAAAAGUCAAACCGACAAAUAAUGGUACAUAAGACACAACAUAGAAAACUAAAGACUUAGCAACACAAACC
rnacentral:lncRNA from 1 species